UGGGCCCUUAGUUCAGGGGAUAGAACAACCGCCUUCUAAGCGGUAAGUCGCAGGUUCGAAUCCUGCAGGGCCCGU
rnacentral:tRNA from 1 species